CCUACGGGGGGCAGCAGUGGGGAAUAUUGGACAAUGGGGGGAACCCUGAUCCAGCCAUGCCGCGUGUGUGAAGAAGGCCCUCGGGUUGUAAGCACUUUCAGUGAGGAAGAACGCCUGGUGGUUAAUACCCAUCAGGAAAGACAUCACUCACAGAAGAAGCACCGGCUAACUCCGUGCCAGCAGCCGCGGUAAUACGGAGGGUGCGAGCGUUAAUCGGAAUUACUGGGCGUAAAGCGCGCGUAGGUGGCUUGAUAAGCCGGUUGUGAAAGCCCCGGGCUCAACCUGGGAACGGCAUCCGGAACUGUCAAGCUAGAGUGCAGGAGAGGAAGGUAGAAUUCCCGGUGUAGCGGUGAAAUGCGUAGAGAUCGGGAGGAAUACCAGUGGCGAAGGCGGCCUUCUGGACUGACACUGACACUGAGGUGCGAAAGCGUGGGUAGCAAACAGGAUUAGAUACCCCUGUAGUC
rnacentral:rRNA from 1 species